GCCUCCGCUGACACACGUUCGACGGCUGACCCUGAAACCCACACCGAAACCUGACCCGUACUCCGUGAAGCAACCCGACGACCCACUGUCCAAUCCGAAACCCACCGCCAGCCCUUGUACGACACGUGUCACACCCAGAAAAUUCGAGGGGUCACUGCAUAGAAAAUUCGUAAUUUUCGGACUCCGUACGACUGUAAAUCAAACUUGGGAAGGCACGUGACAUACUUGUAAGUAACCACACAGAAUUAGGAAGUAAUAUUUGUAAGCUGCACUUGGUUUUACAUGUAUACUAGAGUAAAUUACUCCUAGGUGGCUAGAUCUGAUAAUCCUCUGUACUUAGGAAAUUAAAUAUAUAUCCGUUAGACUUGCUGCCCUAAUGAGAUUUCAUACUCGAUGUUUGUA